CUUCCACCCCACCCACUCCGUAUCUCUGUGACCUUCCAGGACCCUUCCACCUAAACCACCCCACAUCUCUGUGACCUUCCAGGACCCUUCCACCCCAACCACCCCGUAUUGCUGUGACCUUCCAGGACCCUUCUAUCCAAACCACUCCAUAGCUCUGUGACCUUCCAGGACCCUUCCACAGCAACCAGUCCGUAUCUCUGUGACCUUCCAGGACCCUUCCACCUCAAACCUCCCCAUAUCCCUAUGGAGCUCUAUGGGGUCACUAUGGGGUUCUAUGGGGUCACUAUGGGGCUGUUAUGGGGUCACUGUGGGGCUCUAUGGGGUCACUGUGGAGCUCUAUGAGGUCGCUAUGGGGCUCUAUGGUGUCACCGUGGAGGUAUAUGGGGUCCCUAUUGAGCUCUAUAGGGUCGCUAUGGGGCUGUUAUGGGGUCCCUAUGGGGCUCUAUGAGGUCACUGUGGGGCUCUAUUAAGCUCUAUAGGGUCGCUAUGGGGCUGUUAUGGGGUCCCUAUGGGGCUCGAUGGGGUCACUAUGGGGCUGUUAUGAGGUCACUAUGGAGCUCAAUGGGGUCUCUGUGGGGCUUUUAUGGGGUCACUAUGGAGCUCUAUGGGGUCACUAUGGGGCUGUUAUGGGGUCACUGUGGAGCUCUAUGGGGUCACUAUGGAGGUAUAUGGGGUCCCUAUUGAGCUCUAUAGGGUCGCUAUGGGGCUGUUAUGGGGUCCCUAUGGGGCUCUACGGGGUCACUCUGGGGCUCUAUGGGGUCCAUAUGGGGCUCUAUGGGAACACUGUGGGGCUCUAUGGGGUCACUUUGGAGCUCUAUGGGGUCAUUAUGGAGCUCUUUGUGGUCCCUAUGGGGCUCUUUGGGGUCCCUAUAGGGCUCUAUGGAGUCCCUAUGGGGCUCUAUGGAGUCACUGUGGGGCUCUAUGGGGUCACGAUGGAGCUCUAUGGGGUCCCUAUGGGGCUCUAUGGGGUCCCUAUGCGGCUCUAUGGGGACACUGUGGGGCUUUAUGGGGUCACUGUGGAGCUCUAUGGGGUCAUUACAGAGCUCUCUGGGGUCCCUAUGGGGCUCUAUGGGGUCACUAUGGGCCUCAAUGAGGUCACUAUGGGGCUGUUAUGGGGUCUCUAUGGAACCCUAUGGGCUCGCUAUGGGGCAGUUAUGGGGUCAUUAUGAAGCUCUUUGGGGUCCCUAUGGGGCUCUAUGGGGUCACUGUGGGGCUUUAUGGAGUCAUUGUGGAGCUCAAUGGGGUCGCUAUAGGGCUGUUAUGGGGUCCCUAUGGUGCUCUAUGGGGUCCCUAUGGGGCUCUAUGAGGUCACAAUGGGGCUCUAUGGGGCCCCUAUGGGCCCUAAUGGGGUCAUUAUGGGGCAGUUAUGGGGUCACUGUGGGGCUCUAUGGGGUCAUUACGGAGCUCUCUGGGGUCCCUAUGGGGCUCUUUGGGGUCCCUAUAGGGCUCUAUGGAGUCCCUAUGUGGCUCUAUGGGGUCACUGUGGGGCUCUAUGGGGUCACGAUGGAGCUCUAUGGGGUCACUAUGGGGCUCUAUGGGGACACUGUGGGGCUCUAUGGGGUCACUAUGGGGCUGUAAUGGGGUCUCUAUGGAACUCUAUGGGGUCACUAUGGGGCAGUUCUGGUGUCACUAUGGGGCUCUAUGGGGUCACUGUCUGGCUCUAUUGGGUCAUUAUGGGGCUCUAUGGGGUCACUAUGUGGCUCUAUGGAGUCCCUAUGGGGCUCUAUGGGGUCAUUGUGGGGCUCUAUGGCGUCACUGUGGGGCUCUAUGGGGUCCCUAUGGGGCUCUAUGGGGACACUGUGGGGUUCUAUGGGGUCACCGUGGAGCUCUAUGGGGUCACUAUGGGGCUGUUAUGGGGUCACAGUGGAGCUCUAUGGGGUCAUUAUGGAGCUCUUUGGGGUCCCUAUGGGGCUCUAUGGGGUCACUGUGGGGCUUUAUGGAGUCAUUGUGGAGCUCAAUGGGGUCGCUAUGGGGCUGUUAUGGGGUCCCUAUGGGGCUCUUUGGGGUCCCUAUAGGGCUCUAUGGAGUCCCUAUGGGGCUCUAUGGGGUCGCUGUGUGGCUCUGUUGGGUCACUGUGGGGCUCUAUGGGGUCACUAUGGGGCUCUAUGGGGUCACUGUGGGGCUCUUUGGGGUCACUCUCGGGCUCUAUGGGGUCAUUACAGAGCUCUCUGGGGUCCCUAUGGGGCUCUAUGGGGUCCCUAUGGGCCCCAAUGAGGUCAUUAUGGGACUGUUAUGGGGUCUCUAUGGAACUCUAUGGGGUCACCAUGGGGCUCUAUUUGUUCACUAUGGGGCUCUAUGGGGUCACUGUGUGGCUCUAUUGGGUCACUAUGGGCCCCAAUGAGGUCACAAUGGGGUUCUAUGGGGUCCCUAUGGGCCCUAAUGGGGUCAAUAUGGGGCAGUUAUGGGGUCACUGUGGGGCUCUAUGGGGUCAUUACGGAGCUCUCUGGGGUCCCUAUGGGGCUCUUUGGGGUCCCUAUAGGGCUCUAUGGAGUCCCUAUGUGGCUCUAUGGGGUCACUAUGGGGCUCAUUGGGGUCACUGUGGGGCUCUAUGGGGUCACUAUGGGGCUGUAAUGGGGUCUCUAUGGAACUCUAUGGGGUCACUAUGGGGCAGUUCUGGUGUCACUAUGGGGCUCUAUGGGGUCACUAUGCGGCUGUGAUUGGGUCAUUAUGGAGCUCUAUGGGGUCACUAUGGGGCUCUAUGGGGUCACUGUGGGGCUCUAUGGGGACACUGUGGGGUUCUAUGGGGUCACCGUGGAGCUCUAUGGGGUCACUAUGGGGCUGUUAUGGGGUCACCGUGGAGCUCUAUGGGGUCACUAUGGAGGUAUAUGGGGUCCAUAUUGAGCUCUAUAGGGUCGCUAUGGGGCUGUUAUGGGGUCCCUAUGGGGCUCUUUGGGGUCCCAAUAGGGCUCUAUGGAGUCCCGAUGUGGCUCUAUGGGGUCACUAUGGGGCUCAUUGGGGUCACUGUGGGGCUCU
rnacentral:lncRNA from 1 species